GACGAACGCUGGCGGCGUGCUUAACACAUGCAAGUCGAACGGUAAGGCCCUUCGGGGUACACGAGCGGCGAACGGGUGAGUAACACGUGGGUGAUCUGCCCUGCACUUCGGGAUAAGCCGGGGAAAAUGGGUCUAAUACCGGAUAGGACCACUGCCUGCAUGGGGGGUGGUGGAAAGCUUUUGCGGUGUGGGAUGGGCCCGCGGGCUAUCAGCUUGUUGGUGGGGUGAUGGCCUACCAAGGCGACGACGGGUAGCCGGCCUGAGAGGGUGGCCGGCCACACUGGGACUGAGAUACGGCCCAGACUCCUACGGGAGGCAGCAGUGGGGAAUAUUGCACAAUGGGCGCAAGCCUGAUGCAGCGACGCCGCGUGAGGGAUGACGGCCUUCGGGUUGUAAACCUCUUUCAGCACCGACGAAGCGCAAGUGACGGUAGGUGCAGAAGAAGGACCGGCCAACUACGUGCCAGCCGCCGCAGUAA
rnacentral:rRNA from 1 species